GGCUAACGGGGGUCGGGAGGGGGGGGAAAGACGGGGUGUGCAAGGGUGAUCCGGAUUUAUUGGGGUGAAAGGGUCAGUAAGCGGACUUAUAAGGCAGUGGUGAAAGCCUGUCGCUUAACGAUAGAACUGACAUUGAUACUGUAAGUCUUGAGGAUAAUUGAGGUAGCUGGAAUAAGUAGUGUAGCGGUGAAAUGCAUAGAUAUUACUUAGAACACCAAUUGCGAAGGCAGGUUACCAAGUUAUAACUGACGCUGAGGGACGAAAGCGUGGGGAGCGAACAGGAUUAGAUACCCGGGUCGC
rnacentral:rRNA from 1 species